AACGCAAAUUGCGCUCGAGGCUUCGGCCAAGAGCAUGUCUGCCUCAGCGUCGGGUUAAUACUCACAUUUGCACUCCAUCCAGAGUGCACAUGUGGAUCUGGCUGUCUCGGUUUAUUUUAAUUAAUUAACCGGGUCAGCUGAAGUGCAGAUGUCAAGGCAUGGACCGUUAAAUCGGGCCUCUACUGGGUAGGCAACUUGUUUGCUGUAAUGCUUUAGUAGGUGGCUUUGGGACUGUGAGCAGCACAAGCCAGGAAUAUGCUCUUCAUGAGCAUAAACCCUCCUUUUCUCGACCUGAGCUCAGGCAAGAUUACCCGCUGAACUUAA
rnacentral:misc_RNA from 1 species